UGUCUGUUGAUGGCCAAUUUGUCUGAGCACAGCUUUGUGGUCUUCUGGCUCCUUUGAUCGGGAGGGGAGGCAGGGGGGGUUGGGAUAUUGACCCCCUCUGACUCCCCCGCUCAGCCCCAAAGCUCUUCCUGACCCUUCCCUCCUGCCACCUGGCCUCUGUCUCGUAGGUCUGCUACGCCAAGAACCUCGACUGCUUCUACCUGGAACUGCUGGUCAUCCAGGAGGAACAGGAGGAGCCCUCCGAGACCCUCUCCCGGCUCAUCCGGCGCCUGAAGCAGCUGAGAAAGAAGCUGCAGAGGACCGGCCAAGCCAGCCAUUGUGCCGCCUACCCACCGUGCCACGCUCACCCGGAAAAGCCAGCCGCAGCUUUCCUAAGGAGGCUCCUGGAGAUGUUUCAGUGGAGAUGCAGUACGAAAGACUUCGACCCACGUCCGGGGCCCCCAAGCACCACCCGCAUCCCCCGGGCCUCCUCUUCUCCUCCCACCUCUGCAGUGACGGACCGCCAGGUCUAGCUGAAGUUAAAAAACGAUCCGGUGCCACCCUGGGAGGCUGCCUGCAACCUGCAGGGAGGAGGGCUCCUUCCAGGCCGGUGAGCUGAUCAGGCGCGACGGACGGAGAGAUCUUGGACCUGUUGAUGACCAUCCAGCAUCUUCUGUGCCUCUUGGUGGGAGAAGGAAGACGGCGGUGAGCUCCCAGGGCUUGGAAAUAAACAGCCGAGUUUCCCAGCCUUUGCAGGGAAAUUGAAGAGUGGCGUCUUCUCCCAGCAAUCCCAAGCAGGUGGAAGGAGACUUAGAAGAACAGAGGAUAAAAAUGAAUGAUUUGUGACUUGGUCAGCUCUCUGCCAAUUCCCAAGGGCGAUCCUUCAAUGGCUGCUGGGGGGAAAAAAUUGUUUGUGUCUUUCUUUUGUUGCAAAUGUUGUCAUGGGACUUCAGUCCGACAAACCAG